rnacentral:lncRNA from 1 species
GUGUGUUCUAAUAAAAGAUGCUACCUCCUCUUGCACACAGUGCCUUGUACCUCCCUCCAGACCACGACAGCUGCACCAAUAGUCCCUCAAGAAGAGCAGGAAGCACAGAAGCACCCAGAACUACAGAGGGUGGAAGUUCUAACCUGCCACCAUGAGCUGUGCUGGAAGAUAAAUCCACAGUUUUCCAGGUUUCAUUGGGGCUAACCAGUGGCAGAGAGAUGCUACACUUCUGUUUGGAUGUGCAUGAGAAUGUGACCAAACAUCUGAGCAAACUUCAGGUGAUCAGACUUCAGGCAUCCUCAUCAUCUGAUGGGACUUGAGAGGUCCCCAGCAGAUUGUUCUGUGCUUUGUGAGGAGGGAGUGCAGGACCUCCAGGAGAGGCAGCAGUGGGGAGAGAUUGCUGAAGCAUUCCAUGGAAUGGUAGAUCCAGCCUUGGCCAGACCUGAGGACCUUCCUUGCCUGCUCAGCCACAGGAGGGACCCAGGUGCUGGUGUCAUCAUUAACCCCUCAGUGAUGGGGAGCCAAGCUUCACCUCCAGCCCAGGCUCUGCACAAAGAGAGAUGGAUGGCUCCAGGGACUCAGCAGCAGCAGCAAAUCAGACUCAGUGCCACUAACAGGGCCUAG